AUUGAACGCUGGCGGCAGGCCUAACACAUGCAAGUCGAACGAGUGGCGGACGGGUGAGUAAUGUCUGGGAAACUGCCCGAUGGAGGGGGAUAACUACUGGAAACGGUAGCUAAUACCGCAUACCAUCGGAUGUGCCCAGAUGGGAGUAGCUAGUUGGUGGGGUAAAUGCUCACCUCGGCAACGAUCCCUAGCUGGUCUGAGAGGAUGACCAGCCACACUGGAACUGUGACACGGGCCAGACUCCUACGGUCGGAAGCAGUGGGGACUCUUGCACCAUGGGCGAAAUCCUGAUCCAGCCAUGCCGCGUGUAUGAUGAAGGCCUUCGGGUUGUAAAGUACUUUCGGCGGGGAGGCGUUACCCGCAGAAUAAGCACCGGCUAACUCCGUGCCAGCAGCCGCGGUAAUAC
rnacentral:rRNA from 1 species